rnacentral:tRNA from 1 species
GGGCUAGUAGCUCAGGUGGCUAGAGCACACGACUGAUAAUCGUGAGGUCGAAGGUUCAAGUCCUUCCUGGCCCACCA